rnacentral:rRNA from 1 species
UACGUAGGGGGCAAGCGUUGUCCGGAUUUAUUGGGCGUAAAGAGCGUGUAGGCGGCCUUACAGGUCAGCUGUGAAAACUCGAGGCUCAACCUCGAGACGUCGGUUGAAACCGCAUGGCUAGAGUCCGGAAGAGGAGAGUGGAAUUCCUGGUGUAGCGGUGAAAUGCGCAGAUAUCAGGAAGAACACCCGUGGCGAAGGCGGCUCUCUGGGACGGUACUGACGCUGAGACGCGAAAGCGUGGGGAGCGAACAGG